rfam:Tupaia chinensis contig89948, whole genome shotgun sequence.
CUCUCCAUCAAAGGCAUGUCUGUGGUUCCCUGUCUUUGGACAUGUAAGAAUUAGAGGCAAAGAAAUGUGGAUUGAGGAAUCUGGAGCCUGCUUGUUCCCUGCAGGACUCAAGAUCCACUAUCCCAUAUAG